rnacentral:rRNA from 1 species
CCUACGGGAGGCAGCAGUGGGGAAUAUUGCACAAUGGGGGAAACCCUGAUGCAGCGACGCCGCGUGAGUGAAGAAGGAAUUCGGUAUGUAAAGCUCUAUCAGCAGGGAAGAAAAGGACGGUACCUGAGUAAGAAGCCCCGGCUAACUACGGGCCAGCAGCCGCGGUAAUACGUAGGGGGCAAGCGUUAGCCGGAUUUACUGGGUUUAAAGGGAGCGUAGACGGCCGUGCAAGUCUGGAGUGAAAGGCGGGGGCUCAACCCCCGGACUGCUCUGGAAACUGUCCGGCUGGAGUGCAGGAGAGGUAAGUUGAAUUCCUCGUGUAGCGGUGAACUGCGUAGAUAUU